rnacentral:misc_RNA from 1 species
CUCCCCUCGAGCGCGGUUCGGCCCCUAGCGGGCCGGCCGCCGCCCGGUGUUGGGGCACUGCGGGCCACAGCGCCCGCAGGCCCUCAAAUGAAGUGGCGGUCCCGCCGCGGCGCCCCCUGCGUAGUAGUAAAGCACCUCGCAUCGGGUCCCGGCGAAGACCAGCCGUCGAACCUAUCUCUUGAUG